CAGGUUCCGUNAAACAAAGGUUUCCGUAAGUGGAACCUCGCGGAAGGAUCAUUACCUAUACCCUGNGAAUUUGCCUGCCAUCUCUUACCCAUGUCUUUUGACUUCCUUCGUUUCCUCGGCGGGUUCGCCCGCCGGUUGGACAACACUUAAACCCUUUGUAAUUGAAAUCAGCGUCUGAAAAACUUUAAUAGUUACAACUUUCAACAACGGAUCUCUUGGUUCUGGCAUCGAUGAAGAACGCAGCGAAAUGCGAUAAGUAGUGUGAAUUGCAGAAUUCAGUGAAUCAUCGAAUCUUUGAACGCACAUUGCGCCCCUUGGUAUUCCAUGGGGCAUGCCUGUUCNAGCGUCAUUUGUACCUUCAAGCUCUGCUUGGUGUUGGGUGUUUGUCUCGCCUUUUGCGCGCAGACUCGCCUCAAAACGAUUGGCAUCCGGCGUAUUGAUUUCGGAGCGCAGUACAUCUCGCGCUUUGCACUCACAACGACGACGUCCAAAAAGUACAUUUUUACACUCUUGACCUCGGAUCAGGUAGGGAUACCCGCUGAACUUAAGCAUAUCAAUAA
rnacentral:rRNA from 1 species